rnacentral:misc_RNA from 1 species
UUGGCCACACGUUGAAUAAUCGAACUUUGUUUGAGGCAACUUCACGUCGCUAUCGCGUAUCUCCACUUUUGUCCGCGAACGUGUGCUUUCUUUCCGAUCAGGAGGAAGAAAACCGUUUACUUUUACCAACUAUUAAAAUCGAUUAAAACGAUUGACGAUUGACGUGCGACAAACAGGAGCCAUUUUCGGUGGUUUCCUAAGUCCUGAUUCCGAACGUGCCGAACGAUGGUCGACUACUACAAAGUGCUCGAAGUACAACGGAAUGUUUCCAGUGCUGAUAUAAAAAAGGCGUAUAGAAAAUUGGCAUUGAAAUGGCAUCCAGACAAGAAUCCCGAUAAUUUGGAAGAGGCAAAUAGAAGAUUCAAGGAAAUCUCGGAAGCUUAUGAAGUUUUGAGCGAUGAUGUGAAGAGACGCAUUUACGAUCAGCGCUUAUAUCAGAAGGCAGCAUCAAGGCCCGGCCGUGGAUUCACCUUCCGGAGUUUCUUUGAUUCUCCUUUCCAGCGAUAUUUCGAAAAAAAGAGGCGUGUUUACGAUCAAUAUGGCAAAGAAGGUCUUCAAAUGCCCGGAAGCAAAGGACGAGAUGACUUUGAUCCGCACUUUGCCGGCACGUUUGUUUUUAGAGAUCCCGAGGAAGUAUUUAGGGAAUUUUUCGACGGUAUGCCCUUUGAAGAUUUAUUUGCCGGUUUUCAUGGUUCUUCUCGGAGAGGCCCUACGGGGAGACAUGGUCACCCGGCUAGUAAUAGUCUGAGCACUUCCUUCUUUGGUCCCUUCGGAUUCGGCUUUCGUUUGCCGUUCGAUAAUCUAAUGGAGAAUACUGGAGCCGCCGGAGCAAACUUUACCUCUUUCAAUACUUUUACUAGUUUCGAUGGAGCGAGCGGUGGUGCUGCUGUGAAACGUACCAGUACCUCGACUCGUUUCAUCAACGGAAAGAAAAUUACGACCAAAAAAGUCUUUGAAAAUGGGAAAGAAACUAUAAUGUCUUACGAAAACGAUGUACUGAAAUCGAAGACGGUGAACGGCGUACCACAGUCAAUAACGUACAGUUAAAAUACAUCUCAUUCGCUCGAUCUCUCCUUGGCAAUUGAGAAAUUCCUGUCGUCACGGUUCAAACAUCAGCAAACGAGUACCUGGUUCGACGAAGCAUCAACGAGUCGUCAAGUCUGUGAGAACAUCAAUGAUAACACGAUGGGUAGCCACAGCUCGAAUGCGAUCCACAGCGACUAUCUAAAAGCUAGCAGAAUAAAGACGCGUCAUCAUCCGCACAUGAGUAAGAAGCACGAUAGAAGUAAGAGGA